rnacentral:rRNA from 1 species
UACAGAGGGUGCAAGCGUUGUUCGGAAUUAUUGGGCGUAAAGAGCGUGUAGGCGGUUAGGUAGGUCCGUUGUGAAAACUCGAGGCUCAACCUCGAGACGCCGAUGGAAACCAUCUGACUAGAGUCCGGAAGAGGAGAGUGGAAUUCCUGGUGUAGCGGUGAAAUGCGCAGAUAUCAGGAAGAACACCGGUGGCGAAGGCGGCAACCUGGUCCUUGACUGACGCUGAGGCGCGAAAGCUAGGGGAGCAAACAGG